AUGCAAGUCGAACGGUAGCACAGAGAGCUUGCUCUCGGGUGACGAGUGGCGGACGGGUGAAUAAUGUCUGGGAAACUGCCUGAUGGAGGGGGAUAACUACUGGAAACGGUAGCUAAUACCGCAUAACGUCCAAAGACCAAAGAGGGGGACCUUCGGGCCUCUUGCCAUCAGAUGUGCCCAGAUGGGAUUAGCUAGUAGGUGGGGUAACGGCUCACCUAAGCGACGAUCCCUAGCUGGUCUGAGAGGAUGACCAGCCACACUGGAACUGAGACACGGUCCAGACUCCUACGGGAGGCAGCAGUGGGGAAUAUUGCACAAUGGGCGC
rnacentral:rRNA from 1 species